GACGAACCGUGCGAACGUUAUUCGGAAUCAUUGGGCUUAAAGGGCGCGUAGGCGGCGGUGUAAGUUGGAAGUGAAAUCCCAUCGGCUCAACCGUGGAAUUGCUCCCAGUACUGCAUCGCUCGAGGGGGAUAGGGGUCUGCGGAACUACCGGUGGAGCGGUGAAAUGUGUUGAUAUCGGUGGGAACGCCAGUGGCGAAAGCGGCAGACUAGACCCUUCCUGACGCUGAUGCGCGAAAGCUAGGGGAGCAAACGGG
rnacentral:rRNA from 1 species